UUAACGGAGAGUUUGAUCCUGGCUCAGGACGAACGCUGGCGGCGUGCUUAACACAUGCAAGUCGAACGAGGAAUAGUGGUGCUUGCAUCACUAUAGCCGAGUGGCGGACGGGUGAGUAACACGUGACCAACCUGCCUUUGGGAGGGGGAUAACCUGGGGAAACCUGGACUAAUACCGCAUAUUGUCCGUUUGCCAUAUGGCUUACGGAUAAAAGGGGGCCUAUGCUUGCAUGCUCUCGCCCAUUGAGGGGGUCGCGACGUAUCAGCUUGUUGGUGGGGUAAUGGCCUACCAAGGCUUCGACGCGUAGCGGGUCUGAGAGGAUGACCCGUCACAUUGGGACUGAGAUACGGCCCAGACUCCUACGGGAGGCAGCAGUGGGGAAUUUUGCG
rnacentral:rRNA from 1 species